GAUUAACGCUGGCGGCAUGCCUAAUACAUGCAAGUCGAAUGCCUGUAGCAAUACAGAAACAUGGCGAACGGGUGAGUAAUACAUAAGUAACCUACCCUGAUGAUGGGGAUAACAGUUAGAAAUGACUGCUAAUACCGAAUAAUCCAGUUUGUAAGAAAUUACAGAUAGGGAAAGGAUCGCAAGAUCGCGUUAGGAUGGGCUUGUGGCGCAUUAGCUAGUUGGUGGGUAAAGGCCUACCAAGGCAACGAUGCGUAGCCGACCUGAGAGGGUGAACGGCCACACUGGAACUGAGACACGGUCCAGACUCCUACGGGAGGCAGCAGUAGGGAAUUUUCGGCAAUGGGCGAAAGCCUGACCGAGCAAUGCCGCGUGAACGAAGAAGGUCUUCGGAUUGUAAACCUCUGUUUUUAGUGAAGAAAAAAUGACGGUAGCUAAAGAGGAAGCCACGGCUAACUACGUG
rnacentral:rRNA from 1 species